GAGGCGGCUGCCGGGACGCCUAGUCGGAGCCCGCAACGUUCACCGCCCGUGCUCGUCCCUCGUGCAGGCCGGGCCGGGCGGAGGCUCCAUGUUGGGAAGCGGCGCCGAUCGCCCUCUUUAGCGGGAACCGGGGCGCCGCGGGCUGAGCCGGCGGGGGCCGGGCCGGAGCGAAGAUGGAGGCCCCGCUGCGGCCUGGCGCCGACAUCCUGAGGCGGAAUCCGCAGCAGGACUACGAGCUCGUCCAGAGGGUCGGCAGCGGCACGUACGGGGACGUCUACAAGGCCAGAAAUGUACACACAGGAGAAUUAGCUGCAGUAAAAAUUAUCAAGUUGGAGCCUGGAGAUGAUUUUACUCUAAUUCAACAAGAAAUAUUUAUGGUUAAAGAAUGUAAGCACUGCAACAUUGUUGCCUAUUUUGGGAGCUAUCUAAGUCGAGAAAAAUUAUGGAUUUGUAUGGAAUACUGUGGUGGAGGAUCACUUCAAGAUAUUUACCAUGUUACUGGACCAUUGUCAGAAUUGCAGAUAGCCUAUGUAUGCAGAGAAACUUUACAGGGACUUGCUUAUUUGCAUACUAAAGGCAAAAUGCAUAGAGAUAUCAAAGGUGCAAAUAUUUUAUUGACAGACCAUGGUGAUGUAAAAUUAGCUGAUUUUGGUGUAGCUGCAAAAAUAACCGCUACUAUUGCAAAGAGAAAAUCUUUCAUUGGUACUCCUUAUUGGAUGGCCCCAGAAGUGGCAGCAGUGGAGAAGAAUGGCGGCUACAACCAGCUCUGUGAUAUCUGGGCAGUAGGAAUAACAGCCAUUGAACUUGGAGAGCUUCAGCCACCUAUGUUUGAUCUUCAUCCAAUGAGGGCUCUCUUCUUAAUGUCAAAAAGUAAUUUUCAGCCUCCAAAAUUAAAGGACAAAACAAAAUGGUCAUCAACAUUCCAUAAUUUUGUCAAAAUAGCACUAACUAAAAACCCAAGAAAAAGACCAACUGCUGAAAGACUUCUGACUCAUACUUUUGUUGGACAGCCUGGCCUCUCUAGGGCCCUCGCAGUUGAACUGUUGGACAAAGUAAACAAUCCAGACAACCACAUACAUUACGCUGAAGGAGAUGACGAUGAUUUUGAGCCCCAUGCCAUCAUUCGCCAUACCAUCAGAUCUACAAACAGGAAUGCCAGAGCUGAGCGGACGGCUUCAGAAAUAAAUUUUGACAAAUUACAGUUUGAACCUCCUCUGAGAAAAGAAACAGAAGCCCGGGAUGAAAUGGGAAUGUCAUCAGACCCAAACUUUUUAUUACGGUGGAAUCCUUUUGUUGAUGGUGCAAAUACUAGCAAAUCAACCUCAAAACGUGCAAUACCACCUCCCCUGCCUCCUAAGCCAAGGAUAAAUAGUUAUUCUGAAGACAGCUUCCCAGAUGAAGAAAAAUCAUCAACAGUGAAACGUUGCCCUGAUUCAGAUAACAGAGCUCCCCAACUUCUGAGAAGACAGAGUAGCCCAAGUUGUGGUCUUGUAGCUGAGACUUCCUCUAUGGGAAAUGGUGAUGGUAUCUCAAAACUAAUUAAUGAAAAUACAGAAGGAUCAGCACAGGCACCACAGUUGCCACGGAAAAAGGACAAGAGAGACUUCCCUAAACCAGCCAUCAAUGGUCUUCCACCCACCCCAAAAGUCCUGAUGGGAGCAUGUUUUUCAAAAGUUUUCGAUGGCUGCCCCUUGAAGAUCAAUUGUGCAACUUCUUGGAUACAUCCUGAUACAAAAGAUCAGUACAUUAUUUUUGGAACUGAAGAUGGUAUUUACACAUUGAACCUCAAUGAACUACAUGAGGCAACUAUGGAACAGUUGUUUCCACGGAAGUGUACUUGGCUAUAUGUUAUCAAUAAUACUUUAAUGUCAUUAUCAGAAGGAAAAACUUUUCAACUCUACUCUCAUAAUCUUAUUGCUUUGUUUGAACAAGCCAAAAAACCAGGAUUAGCUGCCCAUAUUCAAACUCAUAGGUUUCCAGACCGCAUACUGCCAAGAAAGUUUGCUUUGACAACAAAGAUUCCUGAUACAAAAGGGUGCCACAAAUGUUGCAUAGUCAGAAACCCUUACACGGGACAUAAAUACCUCUGUGGAGUUUUACAGUCUGGAAUUGUUUUACUUCAGUGGUAUGAGCCAAUGCAGAAAUUCAUGUUGAUAAAGCACUUUGAUUUUCCUUUACCAACACCUUUGAACGUUUUUGAAAUGCUGGUGAUACCAGAACAAGAAUACCCUAUGGUGUGUGUAGCUAUUAGUAAAGGCACACUGAAUCAAAUCAAGUAGUUCAGUUUGAGACAAUCAAUUUGAAUUCUGCAUCUUCAUGGUUUACAGAAAUUGGUGCAGGCAGCCAACAGUUAGAUUCCAUUUAUGUGACACAAUUGGAGAGAGAUAUUGUUUUAGUGUGUUUAGACAAAUUUGUAAAAAUUGUAAAUCUACAAGGAAAACUAAAAUCAAGUAAGAAACUGGCCUCUGAGCUAAGUUUUGAUUUUCGCAUUGAAUCUGUAGUCUGCCUUCAAGACAGUGUGCUUGCUUUCUGGAAACACGGAAUGCAGGGUAAAAGCUUCAAGUCAGAUGAGGUCACCCAGGAGAUUUCAGAUGAAACAAGAGUUUUUCGCUUAUUAGGAUCAGACAGGGUUGUAGUUUUGGAAAGCAGACCAACAGAAAAUCCGACCGCACACAGCAAUCUCUACAUAUUGGCUGGACAUGAAAAUAGUUACUGAGCAACAGAAACUGAUCUCAACUGACAGGAAGAUGAAUUUAUAAAUUUAAUGGAAGCAAAAAUACUUUAAGGAAAUCCAGUAUAGACUGCACUAUGAUUUGCUUUAACUCUAUGGGUUAUAUCUCAAAUGAUCUGUACGGUAGGAUAGAACUCACUUUUCUGUAGCUGGAAACAGCUAGUC